rnacentral:rRNA from 1 species
AACUCCGGGAAACUGGAGCUAAUACCGGAUGGUUCCUGCGGGAUAAAGAUUUAUCGCCAAAAGAUGAGUCCGCGUACGAUUAGCUAGUUGGUGAGGUAAUGGCUCACCAAGGGCGACGAUCGUUAGCUGGUCUGAGAGGACGAUCAGCCACACUGGGACUGAGACACGGCCCAGACUCCUACGGGAGGCAGCAGUGGGGAAUAUUGGACAAUGGGGGCAACCCCUGAUCCAGCCAUGCGCGUGAGUGAUGAAGGCCUUCGGGUUGUAAAGCUCUUUUGGCGGGGACGAUGAUGACGGUACCCGCAGAAUAAGCCCCGGCUAACUUCGUG